rnacentral:rRNA from 1 species
UACGGAGGGGGCGAGCGUUAUUCGGAAUUAUUGGGCGUAAAGGGCGCGUAGGCGGCUGUACAAGUCAAAGGUGAAAUCCCUCGGCUCAACUGAGGAACUGCCUUUGAAACUGUACGGCUUGAGGCCGGGAGGGGGUAGCGGAAUUCCCAGUGUAGCGGUGAAAUGCGUAGAUACUGGGAGGAACACCAGUGGCGAAGGCGGCUACCUGGACCGGUUCUGACGCUGAUGCGCGAAAGCGUGGGUAGCGAUCCGG